rnacentral:rRNA from 1 species
GUUAAUGCAUCGGAAUUGAGUUGUCUUUACCUUUUUUGGUUAAGUAACUUAAGAUUAUGUACGAUUUUUUGAACGUAUUUAAAUUAUUUUACGUAUGUUCAUAAUAUCAAAUAUUAGGUGUGGUCAUCCUAUGAUUCACAUCUAUAAUUUUUCAUUAUUUGACCUCAAAUCAGGUAAGAGUACCCGCUGAACUUAAGCAUAUCAAUAAGCGGAGGAAAAGAAAAUAACAAUGAUUCCCUUAGUAACGCGAGUGAAGGGGGAUAAGCUCAAAUUUUAAAUCUGCUAGGUUUUACUUAUCAGAGUUGUAAUUUGAAGAAGCGUUUUCCGCGUCUCGGUUGACCCAAAUCCUUUGGGAUAAGGUAUCAUGGAGGGUGAGAAUCCCGUUCGGUUGACCUUAUGACGCUUUACGAUACGUUUUCAAAGAGUCGAGUUGUUUGGGAUUGCAGCUCAAAAUGGGAGGUAAAUUUCUCCUAAGGCUAAAUAUUGGCGAGAGACCGAUAGCGAACAAGUACCGUGAGGGAAAGAUGAAAAGAACUUUGAAAAGAGAGUAAAAUAGUACGUGAAAUUGUUGAAAGGGAAACGAUUGAAG